GCGUUUAAAAUGGGCUCAGUCUUCGAAACCUAAAGGAUGUGAUGUUUUCCUGUCUUAUGUUGUUUUAAGAAAAAGGAACUGAGUUCCUAGUAUAGCUCCCGAGGGGAGUGGAAUCCUCUGUCGCUCAGUGCAAGCCUUUCACAUCACGUGAGGAUCAAGGGCUCAAUUGGUUGUCGUGAGAACAAAAAUGGUGACAAGCGUAUCAAGAAAAUACUGAUCUGGUCUUUAAAAAAAAAAAAAAGCUGGAAGUCUCUCCCCUCCCCCUGCACACACUCCCCCAACCUCCUCCCCCCGCCCCCCCGCAGUGGGCGAAGCUACAAGUUAUGAAUGUGAAACAUUUCUCGGAGAUCUAGGAUCUCCGAAGUUCGGAAGGAGUGAAAUGUAAUGAGCACAAGAGCAAAGCAGAUGUUUUAAAGAAACACUUUAUAAACCUUUCCUCAACUUAUCUCCAAUUUGUCGGCUUUCCCAAGGGGUCAGGGACGGGGACGCCUGGGGGAGGGAGAAGGGUAUCUCCGAGCUACUUGGAUUUUAGGGACCCCCACUUCAUGUAUUAAACAAAGAAAAACCUUUUGC
rnacentral:lncRNA from 1 species